ensembl:antisense Gm16133 predicted gene 16133
AUAAUGGAAAAAUCCAAACAGAAAAAAAAUCAAAUUGGAUCUCGUAAAGAAAUACAACUCAGCUAAGUUUGCCAGAACAAUUCUGUUCUAUGUAGGAAUGCACCUCCUAACAACAAAAUCUGAAGACCCCCACCACAGCCACACACCCGCAGGCACAGACACAGAGCUGAAUGUGCACUGAAGGAAAAUCAGACCAGAACUUGAUGCAGAACCUCACUAACCCCAUGGGAGGCAGACACUCUGACCUGCCAGGCCCUGACCUCUGCCUGGAAGCCUAGCCACUGGUGCCAAGACUCUAGAAGGACUCUUAGGCUCUUCAAAGAAGUUGGGGCCUCUGUAUGCAGGAGCUUCACCAAGAAGAAAACUUAGACAAGUCUUCAUUGGUUUUGUUGCUUUAAGCAUUUUUCGGCACUUGUUUGUUUCUGUUGAAUACUUUCUCCUCAUGAAGAGUUGUAAGUUCGCUUUCUAAGUUUGUACUCACUGGUUUCUUCUCUCCCUUGUCUGCAAGAUCUUCAAUUUUAAGCAUCUGUUCCUUGAAAUGAAAACAGUAUUUUUAAAAAGCC